CCUACGGGAGGCAGCAGUGAGGAAUAUUGGUCAAUGGGCUUACGCCUGAACCAGCCAAGUCGCGUGAGGGAAGACUGCCCUAUGGGUUGUAAACCUCUUUUGUCAGGGAGCAAUUGGCGCUACGUGUAGCGUUAUCGAGAGUACCUGAAGAAAAAGCAUCGGCUAACUCCGUGCCAGCAGCCGCGGUAAUACGGAGGAUGCGAGCGUUAUCCGGUUUUAUUGGGUGUAAAGGGUGCGUAGGCGGAAUGCCAAGUCAGCGGUAAAAUCGCGGGGCCCAACCUCGCUCCGCCGUUGAAACUGGCGGUCUUGAGUGGGCGAGAAGUAUGCGGAAUGCGUGGUGUAGCGGUGAAAUGCAUAGAUAUCACGCAGAACUCCGAUUGCGAAGGCAGCAUACCGGCGCCCAACUGACGCUGAAGCACGAAAGCGUGGGUAUCGAACAGGAUUAGAUACCCCGGUAGUC
rnacentral:rRNA from 1 species